rnacentral:snRNA from 1 species
GUAACGGCGAGCGAACCGGG